rfam:Desulfobacterales bacterium C00003106 5579_contig_1190.2, whole genome shotgun sequence.
GCCGAAGUGGUGGAAUCUGGUAGACACGCUGUCUUGAGGGGGCAGUGAGCGACGCUCGUGCGGGUUCAAGUCCCGCCUUCGGCA